CUCUGCUGUUCGUCUUCCAUUUCCUAUGGUGGAUACCCAAAAAGCUACGUGGGACCUUCCCUCUGCUCCUCUACAUCCUUUAGGAUCCCAUCCAGGAUACUACAUUGCCUCUAGUAGUAACGUCUCCUUAGGCUCCUCUUGGCUGUGACAAUUUCUGAAGUUCUCCUAGUGUUUGAUGACCAUGACAGUUUUGAAGAGUUCUGGUCACGACUCUAGAACUUCAUGUUCAUAAAAGGACACUUUUGGCAGCAGUCAUGACAAGGUGAAGGAAAGUGCGAUUCUGAAAAUAACACCAUAUAGCCAACCAAAGGGGGGAACAAAACCAGGCAAAG